rnacentral:rRNA from 1 species
CUUCGGGGUACUCGAGUGGCGAACGGGUGAGUAACACGUGGGUGAUCUGCCCUGCACUUUGGGAUAAGCCUGGGAAACUGGGUCUAAUACCGAAUAUGAUCACGCUUCUCAUGGGGUGUGGUGGAAAGCUUUUGCGGUGUGGGAUGGGCCCGCGGCCUAUCAGCUUGUUGGUGGGGUAAUGGCCUACCAAGGCGACGACGGGUAGCCGGCCUGAGAGGGUGUCCGGCCACACUGGGACUGAGAUACGGCCCAGACUCCUACGGGAGGCAGCAGUGGGGAAUAUUGCACAAUGGGCGCAAGCCUGAUGCAGCGACGCCGCGUGAGGGACGACGGCCUUCGGGUUGUAAACCUCUUUCAGCACAGACGAAGCGCAAGUGACGGUAUGUGCAGAAGAAGCACCGGCCAACUACGUGCCAGCAGCCGCGGUAAUACGUAGGGUGCGAGCGUUGUCCGGAAUUACUGGGCGUAAAGAGCUCGUAGGUGGUUUGUCGCGUUGUUCGUGAAAACUCACAACUCAAUUGUGGGCGUGCGGGCGAUACGGGCAGACUGGAGUACUGCAGGGGAGACUGGAAUUCCUGGUGUAGCGGUGGAAUGCGCAGAUAUCAGGAGGAACACCGGUGGCGAAGGCGGGUCUCUGGGCAGUAACUGACGCUGAGGAGCGAAAGCGUGGGGAGCGAACAGGAUUAGAUACCCUGGUAGUCCACGCCGUAAACGGUGGGUACUAGGUGUGGGUUUCCUUCCUUGGGAUCCGUGCCGUAGCUAACGCAUUAAGUACCCCGCCUGGGGAGUACGGCCGCAAGGCUAAAACUCAAAGGAAUUGACGGGGGCCCGCACAAGCGGCGGAGCAUGUGGAUUAAUUCGAUGCAACGCGAAGAACCUUACCUGGGUUUGACAUGCACAGGACGCCGGCAGAGAUGUCGGUUCCCUUGUGGCCUGUGUGCAGGUGGUGCAUGGCUGUCGUCAGCUCGUGUCGUGAGAUGUUGGGUUAAGUCCCGCAACGAGCGCAACCCUUGUCUCAUGUUGCCAGCACGUCAUGGUGGGGACUCGUGAGAGACUGCCGGGGUCAACUCGGAGGAAGGUGGGGAUGACGUCAAGUCAUCAUGCCCCUUAUGUCCAGGGCUUCACACAUGCUACAAUGGCCGGUACAAAGGGCUGCGAUGCCGUGAGGUGGAGCGAAUCCUUUCAAAGCCGGUCUCAGUUCGGAUCGGGGUCUGCAACUCGACCCCGUGAAGUCGGAGUCGCUAGUAAUCGCAGAUCAGCAACGCUGCGGUGAAUACGUUCCCGGGCCUUGUACACACCGCCCGUCACGUCAUGAAAGUCGGUAACACCCGAAGCCGGUGGCCU